rnacentral:rRNA from 1 species
UGCAAGUCGAGCGCACUCUUCGGAGUGAGCGGCGGACGGGUUAGUAACGCGUGGGAACGUACCCAGAUCUAAGGAAUAGCCACUGGAAACGGUGAGUAAUACCUUAUACGCCCUUCGGGGGAAAGAUUUAUCGGAUUUGGAUCGGCCCGCGUUAGAUUAGGUAGUUGGUGGGGUAAUGGCCUACCAAGCCUACGAUCUAUAGCUGGUUUUAGAGGAUGAUCAGCAACACUGGGACUGAGACACGGCCCAGACUCCUACGGGAGGCAGCAGUGGGGAAUCUUAGACAAUGGGCGCAAGCCUGAUCUAGCCAUGCCGCGUGAGUGAUGAAGGCCUUAGGGUCGUAAAGCUCUUUCGCCUGUGAUGAUAAUGACAGUAGCAGGUAAAGAAACCCCGGCUAACUCCGUGCCAGCAGCCGCGGUAAUACGGAGGGGGUUAGCGUUGUUCGGAAUUACUGGGCGUAAAGCGCACGUAGGCGGAUUAGAAAGUUAGGGGUGAAAUCCCGGGGCUCAACCUCGGAACUGCCUCUAAAACUCCUAGUCUAGAGUUCGAGAGAGGUGAGUGGAAUUCCAAGUGUAGAGGUGAAAUUCGUAGAUAUUUGGAGGAACACCAGUGGCGAAGGCGGCUCACUGGCUCGAUACUGACGCUGAGGUGCGAAAGUGUGGGGAGCAAACAGGAUUAGAUACCCUGGUAGUCCACACCGUAAACGAUGAAUGCCAGUCGUCGGCAAGUAUACUUGUCGGUGACACACCUAACGGAUUAAGCAUUCCGCCUGGGGAGUACGGUCGCAAGAUUAAAACUCAAAGGAAUUGACGGGGG